rfam:Microsporidia sp. TGP3 contig-70, whole genome shotgun sequence.
GGGUCAGUGGUUUAGUGGUAUAAUUCUCGCUUAGGGUGCGAGAGGUCCCGAGUUCGAUUCUCGGCUGACCCC